rnacentral:lncRNA from 1 species
CACGGCAACGGCUGGGGCACGGCAACGGCUUGGGCACGGCAACGGCUGGUGCAUGUUGCCGGCGGAGGCAUUUAGGUAGUGCACGGCGGCUGGGCGCCGGGCCUGUUUGGCUGUGACGCCCAGCCCCGGCUUUCAUCCGCCUAUGCCCUAGGGCUAGUGGAAGACUUAAGAUGGCGGCGUUUGCACGGAGUGCAAUCACUGCGUCCUUACGGGGGUUGCAAGGCGUCCGAAGUAUGAGUCCAGUAACAAAAGGCCAGAAACUCGCCAGUUAAUAGUAUUGUGUCUCUUCAAAAUAUCGGAGAAUAAUUUCUUUCUCGCUGAUCGCCUAACUUCUACUGACGAAGCUAGGAAGUUGCAGAAGGUACUGGCUCCUGUAUCACCCAGCUCUGGAGUUGAAAGAGCUCUUCAUUCCUGAGUCUCCUGUACCACUGAGAAUAGUUUCUUCAAAGGAAAGAAGGAACUGGAACACACAUAUAACACUAACCCUUCCAGCUGCAUUAUGAGGGACCAGUACCUGUCUCAAGGCAAAAUUAUGACUUAGUUCAUCCUCACCUCUGGAGGCCAGUAAAAGUGGGUUAUAGAAGAACAAAGAGGCAUCUAGAUCUUUCACUGGGUUAUUUGGAGAGAAACAUCUCCUACCGAAGGCCAGUUUAACAAGACUGGUAGAGGAGGUUAUCUUAUCUAAUUCACAGAAAUCAACACAUUGAGUCAAGAAAAAUGAAACACAGAAACACUCUAAAUAAAAGAAGAUAAGUCUUCAGAAACCAACCCUAAUGAAAUGAAGAUAUGUGAUUAACCUGACAGGAAAUUAAAAAGAGCAACCAUAAAGAGUCUCACUGAGGUCAUGGGAGCAAUGCAUGAACAAACUGAGAAUUUUCAUAAAGAAAUAAAAGAUAACAAAAAGUAUAAAGUUGAACACAAUAACUGGACUCAAAAAUUUAAUGUGUCCAACAGAAGAAUCGAUGAAGCAGAAGAAAGGACUAUCAAACUUGUAGAUAGGCCAUUGGAAAUCAUGUAAUGUGAGGAGAAAAAAAAGAUUGAAGAUAGUUUAAGAGACUUUUGAGACAUCCUCAAAGGGGAAUAAUUUAUACAUUACCAGAUGGAGAAGAUAGAGGGAAAAGGACAGAAAACAUAUUUGAAGAAAUAAUGUCAGAAAACCUCAUAAUUCUGGCAAGGAAAUAGAAAUUUAGAUCUAAGAAUCUCGAACAUCAGGUAUGAUGAAUCCAAGGAGACUCACACCAAACCAUAUUGUAAUUAAAUAAAGGUAAAAGACAAUCUUCAGAGCAGCAAGGGAAUAGUCUCUUCUUACAUACAAAAUGAUCCACGGAAGACUGUCAGCAGACUUCACCAGAAAACUUUCACGCCAGAAGGCAGUCGUGAUAUAUACAAAAAGCUGAAAGGAAAACACUGCCAUCCAGGAAUACUAUCUCCAACUAUCCUGUGUUUCAAAAAUUAAGGAGAAAUAUAAAGUUCUCAAACAAAAGAUGUGGGAGUUUACCACCACUAGACCUGCACGGGAAGAAUUGCUAAAGGGAGUCCUUCAAGCUGUAGUAAAAGAGUGCUAAUUAGAAACAUGAAAACAAAUACAAAAAAAAUUCUAAAACUUGUAUGGAACUACAAAAGACAUUAAAUAAUCAAAGUAAUCUUGAGCAACAAGGACACAGCUGGAGGCAUCACUCUACCUGAUUUUGUAAUCCAUUAUCAAAAAACUGUGGUACCAGCAUAAAAGCAGAUUCACUGACCAGUGGAACAGGAAAGCCCAGACAUAACUCAUACAUUUCCAUCCAAUUGAUUUUUGACAAAAGUGGCACACAGAAUGGGGAGAGGAUAAAUAAAUAAAUUGUUUUGAGAUAUCUGUAUAUCUAUAUGUGAAAUUGAACCAUUUUCUCAUAGCAUAUAGAAAAAUCAACUCAAAAUGGAUUAAAGCCUGAAAUGUUGCCUUUGAAACUGUAAAACUACUAGUAGAAAAUAUAGGGGAAAAGCUCUAUGAUGUUGUUCUGGGCAAUGAUUUCUUGGAUACAUCCUUAAAAGCAUGGGCAGCAAAAACAGCCAGACAACUAUCAGGGAACCUGCCCUGAUAGUCACAUAGGUUCUUUUCUGUUUUCCCUAAGCAUUGGCCGGGUUGAGAAAUAAAGGGACAGAGUACAAAAGAGAGAAAUUUUAAAGCUGGGCGUCCUGGGGAGACAUCACAUGUCGGUAGGUUCUGUGAUGCCCCCUGAGCCGUAAAACCAGUAAGUUUUUAUUAGGGAUUUUCAAAGGGGAGGGAGUAUACGAAUAGGAUGUGGGUCACAGAGAUCACGUGCUUCACAAGGUAAUAGAAUAUCACAAGGCAAAUGGAGGCAGGGCGAGAUCACAGGACCACAGGACUGGGUUGAAAUUAAAAUAAUUGCUAAUGAAGUUUUGGGCACCAUCGUCAUUGAUAACAUCUUAUCAGGAGACAGGGUUUGAGAGCAACCUGUCUGACCAAAAUUUAUUAGGCGGGAAUUUCCUCAUCCUAAUAAGCCUGGGAGCGCUAUGGGAGACUGGGGCUUAUUUCAUCCCUACAGUCUCGACCAUAGAAGACAGCUACACCCAAGGGGGCCAUUUUAGAGGCCCACCCUCAGGGGCACAUUCUCUUUCUCAGGGAUGUUCCUUGCUGAGAAAAAGAAUUCAGCGAUAUUUCUCCCAUUUGCUUUUGAAAGAAGAGAAAUAUGGCUCUGUUCUGCCUGGCUCACUGGCGGUCAGAGUUUAAGGUUAUCUCUCUUAUUCCCUGAACAUUGCUGUUAUCCUGUUCUUUUUUCAAGGUGCCCAGAUUUCAUAUUGUUUAAACACACAUGCUCUACAAUUUGUGCACUUAACACAAUUAUCACAGGGUCCUGAGGCGACAUACGUCCUCCUCGGCUUAUGAGAUGACAGGAUUAAGAGAUUAAAGACAGGCAUAGGAAAUCACAAGGGUAUUGAUUGGGGAAGUGAUAAGUGUCCAUGAAAUCUUCACAAUUUAUGUUUAGAGAUUGCAGUAAAGACAGGCAUAAGAAAUUAUAAAAGUAUUAAUUUGGGGAACUAAUAAAUGUCCAUGAAAUCUUCACGAUCCACGUUCUUCCGCCAUGGCUUCAGCCAGUCCCUCCGUUUGGGGUCCCUGACUUCCCGCAACAGACAACUUGAGUUGCAUCAAACUAAAAAGCAUCUGCACUGCAAAGGGUACGGUUAACAGAGUGAAGACACGGGUUUUGAGAAACCAUUUUCAAAUCAUAUAUCUGAUAAGGGGCUAAUAUCCAAAAUGUAUUAAGAAACCCAAGCCCAAUAGCAAGAAAACAACUGUCUUUAAAAGGGGGAAAAGGACCUCAACUUAAAUUUUUCAGAGGAAGACAUGAGUGGCCAAUUGAUUGAUACAUGAAAAAAAUGCUCAACAUCUCUAAUCAUUAGUGAGUUGCAAAUCAAAACUGCAAGAUAUUACCUUACACCUUUUAGAAUGGCUAUUAUUAAAAGGAUGAAAGACAGGUGCUGGCAAGGAUGUGGAUAAAAGGAAGCCCCAACAUUCUGUUAGUGGGAAUAUAAAUUAGUAUAGCCAAUUUAGGAAACUAUAUGGUGGUUCCUUAAGAAACUAAAAGUACAAUUACUAUAUGAUCUAGCAAUCUCUACUUAGGUAUAUAUCCAAAGGAAUUGAAGCAGUAUGUUGAAGAGAUCUUGCACUCCCUUAUUUUGAAAUUAUUUACAAAGCUAAUAAAUGGAAAAGACUUAAGUUUUCAUAACAGAUGAAUGGACAUAGAUGUGUUGUAUAUACAUAUUGGAAUAUUUUUUAUCCUUGGAAAAGAAGGAAAAUUGUCAUUUGUGACAACAUGGAUGAAUCUGUAGUAUACUAUGCUAAGUGUUGUAAGACAGGCACAGAGAGGCAAAUACUACAUUAUAUUUGUAUGUGGAAUCUAAGAAAGGCUAACUCAUACAAGUAGAAAGUUGGAUGUUAUGGUUUCCAGGAUGUGGGUGUUGGAGAGAUGGGCAAAGGCAAGAUGUUGGUCAAAGAGUACCAAUUUUCUGUUAGGAGGAAUAAGUUUUAGACAUAUUUCACAGCAUGGUGACCAUUGUCACUGAAUGUAUAUUUUAAAAUUGUUACAAGUAGAUAUUAAAGUUGUCACAACAAAAGUAGGUGAAGUUAUGGAUAUGUUAAUGUGCUUGAUUUAGUUAUUACACUAUGUAUACAUACAAAAACAUCAUAGUUCCCUGGAAUUAUAUACAAUUAUUACUUGUCAAUUAUAAAAAAAAGCCCUACUGCAACCACUAAAAAGGAUUUUCAUAUAAUAGAGGGAAAAAUCAUUAAAGAUAAUACAUUAUUUUAGAAAAUAUUAACUUAUAAAAAGUAGUAUAGGAGGAAUUCUGUAAAAGAAGAUAGACAUAGAAUUUUAAAAUGUAUAAUGGAAAAUUUAAAUCCAGCUGUACUGAUGGAUCAAGCAAUCCAAACCAGUCUGAUUGACCAAGUGGAUAUUUAAAAAACAAUCAAACUAUAAGGUGUCUGUUGUAGGCAGUUUAUAAAAUACAAAAGUGUUGAAAGAAAUAGGAUGGAAAUAGAAAUAUCCAAGUAGCAACCACAAAAAAACUGGAAUGUCUGCACUAACAUCAUACAAAACAAACCAAAUGAAGGUUAAAAAUAUUGAAAUUAUACAAAAUAUGUUCUAUGACUAAAAUUUAAUGAAAUUAGAAAUAACAGAUAGGAACUAUACAUAUUUGUGCAAAUUUAAAAAGUUAUGCUGAGUGUGGUGGCUCACACCUGUAAUCCCAGCACUUUGGGAGGCCGGGGAGGGUGGAUCACUUGAAGUCAGGAGUUGGAGACCAGCCUGGCCAACAUGGUGAAACCCUGUCUCUACUAAAAAUACAGAAAAUUAGCCAGAUGUGGUGGUGUGCGCCUGUAGUCCCAGCUACUCGGGUGGCUGAGGCACAAGAGCCUAGGAGGCAGAGGUGGCAGUGAGCCGAGAUCACACCACUGCACUGCAGCCUGGGCGACAAAGACUGUCAAAAAAAAAAAAAAAAAAAAAGUUACGUAACCAACAAGUCAAAGGAGAAUUUAUAAGGAAAUCAGAAAAUACUUUGAGGUGAAUGAAAAUACAGAAACAACAUAUCAAAUUCUGUGAGAUGUGUGAAAGCAAUGCUUACAGUGAAAUUAAUAGCUAUGAACAUUGUAAUGAAAUGAGAAGUACUUCAAAUUACUAACCUAACUUUCCAACUUUAGAAAAUACAGUAAAAAAAGAACAAAUUAAAAUCAAAGCAGAAAGGAUAUAAAGUUUAGUGUGGAAAUAGAGAAUUAAAAAUAAUUGAGAAACACAGCACUUCGUUGACUUAUUCAUAAAAUAAAGCUUCUUUACUAAAAUGAGAAAUGUAAAACGUGAUGUUCCUAAUGACCUUAUUCCAUACAAGGGAUUAAUAUUUUGACAAAUAUCUUUGUGGAAGUAGACAAAUUCCUAGAAAGACACUGACUACCACAACUCAUUCAAGAACAAAGUGAAGACAAUAAAUUGGUAAUUUAAAAACUCUCACUCCUGCCCCUGACACACAUGUAAAUCCCCAGUUCAAAUGUAUUCUUUUGUAUAUUAUACCAAACACAUGAAAAUUACCAAUUCGAUAAAAAUGUCUUAAAAACUUGGAAGAGCAUGUAAUAUUUUUUACUGGUUCUAUGAUGCUAUUGUUAUCUAGAUACCAAAGUGAAACAUCAUACACAGGGAAAACUCUGAUAAUAUCGCUUAUGAGUGGAUCUGCGAAAUUUCCUAGUAAAUUUUGGCAAACCAAAUACAGUAACAUAUAAAUAGGAAUGUACACCAGUACUUAGUACAGUGUAUCCCUGGAAUGCAACGUUAUUUCAUCAGCUGGAAAUGAUUAGUGCAACAGACUGAAGGAAGAAAACAACAUGGUCAUCUCAAUAGAUUGUGGACGGCUGGAAGUGGAGGCUCACGCCUGUAAUCCUAAUACUCCUACCAACAGUGUAUAAGCAUUCCUUUUUCUCUGUAACCUCACCAGAAUCUGUUUUUUUGUUUGUUUGUUUGUUUUUGACUUUGUAAUAGCCAUGGGCUGGGCUCAGUGACUCACGCAUGUAAUCCUAGCACUGGGGGAGGCUGAGGUGGGCGGAUCACUUGAGGUCAGGAGUUCGAGACCAGCCUGGCCAACAUGGUGAAACCCCAUCUCUACUAAAAAUACUAAAAUUACCUGUGCAUGGUGUCAGGUGCCUGUAAUCCCAGCUACUCUGGAGUCUGAGGCAGUAGAAUCACUUGAACCCAGGAGGUGGAGGUUGCAGUGAGCGGAGAUUGUGCCACUGCACUUGGACCUGGCUGACACAGCAAGACUAUGUUUAAAAAAAAAAAGAGAGAAAAAAAAAAAUGGAAGGUGGAAAAAGUAUUUGGUAAACUAAGAAGUAAACCACAACCUAGUAAAGGGCAUAUUUUAAGAAUUCACAACUAGAACCUGGUGCCGUGGCUGUAAUCCCAGCAUUUGGGGAAGCCAAAGCAGGAUUACUUGAGGCCAGAAGUCUGAGAUCAGCCUAGGCAAUAUAAGGAUACUCUGUAUCUUAAAAAAAAAAAAAAAAUCCAGAUGUGAUGACACAUGCCUGUACGCCUAGCUACUUGGGAAGCUGAGGUUCAUGUUUACAAUGAGCUAUGAUGAUGCCACUGUACUCCUGACUGAACAACAGAGUGAGACCCUGUCUCUAAAAAGCAAAACAAAACAAAACAAAAAACCCAAAACCCUCAAAACUAAUGUUACGCUUAGUAUUUAAAGAAUGCUUUCUCUGUAAGAUGAGGAGCAAGGACAGGAUAAAACAUUCUUGCCAGUUCUGUUCAACAGUGUACUGGAAGUAUCUGUGACAUUAAUUGCAUUGCAUUGGAAGGAAAUAAAAUUUUUUAAAUACGAAGCAGCAAAACCUUUUGCAGAUGACAUGGUUUUAUACAUACACAACCCCAGUGGAUCCAAUAAAUUUGGAUUCCAAUAACAAGAUCAUCUCAGCAAGUUUUUGUGAUUUAAGAUUACAAUCCAAAAAUCAGUUGCAUUUCUAUAUAUUAUUAAAGAAGUCAAAAGUGACAUCAUCGAAACAUUUUUAUUUACAAUAUUAUUAAGGCAAAAUACUGUGGGAUAAAGUGAAAUUCAGCAUGAACUGUGAAUAACACAAAAUAUUUGUCAGAGGAGUUGAGGAAUAUCUAAAUAUGUGGAAAGACAUCUCAUAUUUGUGGAUUAGAAGAUUUAAGCAUCGCCAGGUGCGGUGGCUCACGCCUGUAAUCCCAGCACUUUGGUAGGCUGGUCUCGAAUUCCCGACCUCAGGUAAUCUGCUUGCCUCUGCCUCCCAAAAUACUGGGAUUAUAGGUGUGAGCCACCAUGCCCGGCCCUUUGUUUUCAAAUCUCAUAUCCAACAUUGGACUUAUGGCUAGAAUAUUUACAUAAUUCUCAAAAGAUAGUAUUAAAAAUCCAAAGCUUUAAAUUAGAAAAUGGGCAAAAGUCAUGAAAGAACAUUCCCCUGAGGAUAGGGAAAUGUCAAUAAGGACAUGAUGGAAAUUAAUACUAUGAUGAGAUAUUACAGAAGAUUUAUUUUUCUUUGAGGCGGAGUCUGCCUCUGUCACCGAGGCUCGAGUGCAGUGGCACGAUCUCAGCUCACUGCAACCUCCACCUCCCGGGUUCCAGCGAUUCUCCUGCCUCAGCCUCCCAAGUAGCUGGGAUUACAGGCCCCUGCCACCACGCCCAGCUAAUUUUUUUUUUUUUUUUUUGGAUUUUUAGUAGAGACGGGGUUUCUCCAUGUUGGCCAAGCUGGUCUCAAACUCCUCACCUCAGGUGACCCACCUGCCUCAGCCUCCCAAAGUGCUGGAAUUAAGAGGUGUGAGCCACCACACCCGGCCUACAGCAGAUUUAUUUCAGUAGCUGAAAUAGUUAAAACAUAAUGAUUCCAAAGGCUGAGAAGCAUGCAGAAAAAAUUGAAUCUUUAUUGCUGAUGGGAAUAUAAAACUGUAUACCACAUUGGAAAAUAAUUUGGCAAUUUCUUUUAAAGCUAAACACACACAUACAGUUAGUUAGGCUUAGCAAUUGCUGUCAUGGCCUAUUUCAUAGAAAUGAAAAUUUAUGUGUAGACCAAACCUGCACUUGACUGUUCACAGAAAUUUUAUUUGUAAUAGUCAGAACCUGGAAACAACUCACAUGUUAUUCACCAGGUAAACAGUUAAAUAAGUCUGUUAUUUCCGUAUUGUGUAAUACAACUCAAAAAUUAAAAGGAAUAAACUACUACUAUACAAAUAAGCCUUAGAUGAUUCUCAAUUCUGAAGGAAAAACCCAUUUCAAGUUGUAACAUAAUGCUUAUUUUUAGUAUCUUAAUGUGAUGAAGUUAAAUAGUUUAGAGAACAUUGUUCGUAUUCAUCUGUUUGUUAGGGAUGGUAGAAGUUAGGGUUGUAUGUGAUUAUAAGACUGGUGGAAGGGAUACGUUUUUAAUGAUGGAUGAGUUCUGCAUUCUGAUUCAUGCAGUGGUUACAAAAAUGUAUACAUGUGAUAAAAUGUCAUGUAAAUGUGCACAUUUCACCAAUGACAAUGUGCUGGUUGUGAUAUUGUACAAUGUUAAUGGAAAAUAUCACCACUGGGGAAAAUUGAGUGGUAUGUGUAAACGGUACUAUAUUUGCAGCAUUUUGUGAGUCUUUAUUUUAACAUAAUAUGUAAAUAUGUAAAGCAACUAGAAGAAUGGUUUUAAUACAGGAGAGUAACAGCUUAUAAGCAAGAGAAAGAAAAAUGAUAAAUAAUGUGAACACUUACCAAAGGAAGGGUGGAACAGAGAAAUAAAGGACAGGGAAAAUUAUCUGGGAUGAUUCCUAAAUUCCAAUAUUUGGAUGGAACUAUACAGAAUUUUAAUAUAUCUGGAAAAUAAACUGAAAAUAUUAACGGAUCCACAGAUAUUGAAGACUUAACCUUUUUUCUCUCAUUAUUCAUUAAAACAAGUGAAAUGUUAUAGGGAAUUCUUCAAAUUGAAAGAAGCAGCUCAUGCAUAACACAAAAACAUGAAUGUAUAAAACUGGUAAAAGGUAAGUAACUCAAAUUCACAGUACUGGUAUACUGUAAUGGUGGUGUACAAAUAAUGUAUAUCUUUAUUGUUAAGGUUAAUACACAAAACUUUUUUAAUGAGAUGGCUGUUGCUAUGUUGCUCAGGCUGGUCUGAAACUUCUGGGCUCAAGCAAUUUUCCCUCCUCAGCCUUCUGAUUAGAUGGUAUUAUGGGCACCUGCCAUGAUGUCCAUCUACAAAACUAUUAAUAAUUACAACAAUUUGUUUAGCCAUAUGUGAUAUAAAUAUAUGUAAGGUGUGACAUCAGGAACAUAAUGGGUCACCAAAAUCUCAGAGUAAAAACACUCUGGUUUUACUCACCCCCAUAGAACCUCAGUAAUAUAUCCAGCACGAAUAUUAUCACAAGUUAUAUCCCAGAACUGAAAUCUGAGGCUGAGACAUUUCCUCAGACUACAGAGAAGUGAAAAACUUGGAGCAGAUGAUUAAAGGCUUCUUCUGUAUUUAUGAGACUCCUAUGUGCCUGCCAUCAUGUGUGGAAAAUUUUAUCGACAUUCACCAGUUCAACAUGGGAUAAAUGUGAGAUUUUGGCACACAGCUUAUUCACCAUCUUGGCUUCUCUUGUUGAAAAGCUGUUAAUAGCUUAAAACAUGGGAAGUA